CUUAAAGGAAUUGACGGGGCCCGCACAAGCGGUGGAGCAUGUGGUUAAUUCGACGCAACGCGAAGAACCUUACCAGGGCUUGACAUCCCCUGACCGCGUAUGAAGUACGUUUUCACCCUCGGGUGACAGGGAGACAGGUGGUGCAUGGUUGUCGUCAGCUCGUGUCGUGAGAUGUUGGGUUAAGUCCCGCAACGAGCGCAACCCUUGUCAUUAGUUGCCAGCAGUUCGGCUGGGCACUCUAGUGAGACUGCCGGGGACAACUCGGAGGAAGUGGGGAUGACGUCAAAUCAUCAUGCCCCUUAUGUUCUGGGCUACACACGUGCUACAAUGGCUGGUACAAAGAGAAGCAAGACGGUGACGUGGAGCAAAUCUCAAAAACCAGUCCCAGUUCGGAUUGUAGGCUGCAACUCGCCUACAUGAAGUUGGAGUUGCUAGUAAUCGCGAAUCAGAAUGUCGCGGUGAAUGCGUUCCCGGGUCUU
rnacentral:rRNA from 2 species